rnacentral:rRNA from 1 species
GAGCUCCAUGACGGGAGGCAGGCAGUGGGGAAUAUUGCACAUGGGCGCAAGCCUGAUGCAGCCAUGCCGCGUGUGUGAAGAAGGCCUUCGGGUUGUAAAGCACUUUCAGUCGUGAGGAAGGUAGUGUAGUUAAUAGCUGUAUAUUUUGACGUUAGCGACAGAAGAAGCACCGGCUAACUCCGUGCCAGCAGCCGCGGUAAUACGGAGGGUGCGAGCGUUAAUCGGAAUUACUGGGCGUAAAGCGCAUGCAGGUGGUUUGUUAAGUCAGAUGUGAAAGCCCGGGGCUCAACCUCGGAAUUGCAUUUGAAACUGGCAGACUAGAGUACUGUAGAGGGGGUGAG